GAAGGUUUCAGAUUCAUCAAGGCGCUUGAACUGUUUUAAGCUAGUGUGUGAGAGACCUUCUAAGCCAAAUUGAGGGGUUUUGAGUUCACAGUUUAAAGUGAUACACAUGAUCUGGCAUUUGACGGGUUGUUAUAAAGGCCGUUAAGCUUAGGGAGGAAAUCUUAAUUGGCUCUAUAAGUGGCUAGCUCUGCUCUUGAGAUGUGUGUAAAAUCUUCCAUUGCUAUGAAAUUGUGAAGUGCUGCGUUUGUGCCGUUACCGUCGGAACUGAACCUGAAAACAAUACCGCAACUGGUAAAAAUAGGAAGGAGAGUUAUAUGAGUCUUGGUGAAGAAAAGUAUAACACAGGUUAGGAGAAACGUAUCAACUCAGAAGGUGACUUGGCUUACACUCAUCCUGAUGUCACUUUAUGUUAAUGAUUCAGAUCCAAAGGAUGAAUGAGUGUAAGUAACUCACUGCUGCACUCACCAUAUAACCUCUAAAUGAUAAUGCAUGGUUUACUACAUAUUUUGAAGAGAAUUGUAGGAGGAACAAUAUUAAUAGGUAAAGGUAAUAGAGUAAAACGUUCUAGACAGAGAAAGCUUCGAGAGAUCAACGGAGAGAGCACUUGAACGGUGGCUUGUGGUUGAUUUCAACCCCGAUCUCUGCAUCAAUUCUGAGGCGAUUCAUGCCAUAUUCAUCAUUAAACCAGUGAAGUCAUCAUUCCCAGGUGUCUACUCCCGUGUUCCGCCUCAUUCCAAGCCGAGAUAGACGCAAUCAAACUAUUUUGUCCUUAUGUUUGGUCGGGCACCGAGCCUAAAAAGGAUCGUCCAAGAAAAGCUCGAGCUCCGUCAAAAAAGAAGACAGCCAAGGCAAUGGGAAGACUGAACAUGAUCGUUCCAGACGCGUCUGCCCGCUAUCGCCGAACCCCCAAGGCGACUCCACUGCCUUGUCCAGAUAACCGAUCAGAUACUGGUCCAGAGGUCCGAAUUGUUGAUGUUGGCUCGUCUCGGAACGCUCCUUCUCCUUAGGGUCGUCGACCGGCCAAGAUUCACGAGGGCAAACAGCUUGCCAAAACCAACCCUCUCCCCUCCAAUCGCCACACUGGACCCGUCGAGACGCUCCCCUCAAAACGGAAGGUCAACGAGACUCCCAGUUGCCAAGUCGAGGCGACCAAAAUUCCUCAGAAGAGGAAGGAGGGUACUGGUCAGGAGCGGCCUGAUCCUUCGAAGAAGCCGAAGACAACAGAUUACCGUUGGGACUUCUCUCACACUUCUGCUGCUCGGUGCUUUCCAGACGAUUCCGAAUCCUGCGCCGAGCUGUUUUGUAGAAUUCAUUUCGGCUCUGGUCGCCUUCUGCCCAUUGAACGGAUGAAAGAGGAAGAAGCGGUCACCGACCUUGCCCAGACUGUCUUCGAUCUUAUUGCGCGCACAAAUCACAUGACCUCGUGCUACGAGCGUCGCAUUCGCGAUUUGGAGGUCUCCUGCUUGAACCCUUUGGACCCUUCGGAAAGGAUUGAGCGCCUUAAAGCUCAGCUCGGGGAAGCCAUUCGCCCUAAUCGAGCGACCAGGUUUCAAAGCUCGAACACCACCGUCGCGGGUUAAUCUCGGAAAGGGACGACCUUCUUUCAAAGCUUAAAGCGUCUGAUUCCUCUUAUAAUGGGCUUCGACUCACCCUUAGCCCGGAGACCAAAAAGCUUAGGGACCGUCGCGAGGAGUUUGGCGUCUUUGAAAGGAUCGCCUGCCAUCAACUAGCCGGUCGCGCACAGAGACCACUGUCGAAGCACAAGGAAUACGCAGGUGCGAUUGAAGCGUCUAGGGUGAAGUUCCUUGAAGACAACCAAGCCGUUGGGAAUGUGCAGAUGCUUGAGAUGCUUCUUACUGAUGGCCAGAUUUCUCUUCUCGCUGAUGGGGUCAAGGAGAAGGUCGUUGUCGUGAUGUCCCAGCUGAAGGCGAGGUUGAAGAGAUCGAUAUUCCUGAUAUCGCCGAAGCCGACUUCGACAUUUCCUUGGUUUUUGCCGAGCCUCUUCCCGCGAUCCCUAAAUGUGUCAGGUCUCCAGAAAGUGGGGAUACCGAAGAGCAGGACGACGAGCCUGAGGUCGACGGGUCAGAGAGUGAAGACAUCCAAACUGACAGGGGUGAAGGGGCGAAUGAGGAGGGAAUGGACGUCCCGCAAGAUGGUCGUCGGGAUGAUGGCACUCCUCCGACUCCUGGACGUGAUUCUCUGGUUACCGGCCUUAUGUCUUGAUUUUAGUUUCGUUUCGUACUAGCUCGUCGUGUUUGGGGUUGGCUCCCCGUACUUUUUCUUUUGCUUUCUUUUGGACCUUGCUCUUUAUCGGAUCUUUUAAUCUUUUGUUAUCACAUAUUUUUUAGCUUUAUGACUUGUGUUGAUCAUUCAGUGGGUGUGGCUUUUGAGAACCAUCGAUUGGUCGCUUGUGAGGUCAUUCAUAUGCAUGUGACAACGAGGUCGGUGUGGUUGAGGAGAGCUCGGGAGCGGUUGGUUGUGAGGUACAUUCGCUCUCCGGUGAUGAAGUAAUUCGUGCAGAGAUCAAGUCAUAUGAUGCUUGGAUCCAGAUGCUAAGGGCCUAUAUCAUUGCCACGCGCCGCCAGUUCGAGCGUCACUUCCAGUUCUGCCGUGUUGACGGGACUGUGGAAUAUCUUGAGCAUAUGAUUGCUGAUGGGCUCUUUGUUUCGAAGUUGAGGAGGGAUCAGUUGCUGGAAGAGCGUUUGCGCAGCGAGGCACUCUUGGCCGAGGCAGAGGUUCCCGAUCUUGAAGAGGGUAAUCUUGAACCCUUUACGAGGAUGGUCGCCAGGGGUGCGGAGGUUCCGAUGAAGACGUUAGAAGAGUUGUGAGGAGAGUGCUAGUUCUGGCGGACGAAGCAAGGUGAGCUGGAGUUUGACGAACCCUCCAAUGCCGACCUGGGGUUAGAAGGCUGAAAUCGCCUUACGUGCAAUGUUUGCUUGUUUUGUUUCAUUUUUGUGCCGUAUGGGGUUCGCCUCCCUUCGUAAACUAUUGUUGAACUAGGGGUCGACGCCCUUUUAAAUUUUAACGUAGUUUUUUUCG